rnacentral:rRNA from 1 species
AUGGUGCUUCGGGUAAUGGUAGUCGUACACGUCCGUAUAUAUUCGGGACCGUUGGGUCGAGGUACUUGGCGAUCCUUGAAACGUCUUGUGGGGUUCAUGUCUUGGCAGCAAGUCUUGACGGUCCAAAACUCCAGGAACGAAGGUGCACAGAGGCAACAAAAUGCUCGGGGUUCUCGGUCAUGGCCGUGCCAAAACUUCUCGCGGAUGGCCGACAAGGACGAGUGGAGGCACGCACGGGAGGUGCUCGGGAGGGCGCCAUGGUUCUUCAUGCACGCUCAAGCAGCGAGCUCCUCUCGCUGGGACGCGGCGUAG